AUGGAUCCAGUUCACAUCAUCCCCAUUUAUGUUUUAGGCUCUCAGGUGUCUCACUCAUUCAGGUUGUCAGACAAGAUUGUUGUAUACAUUUCUGUCCACUCCUUUACUGCUUAGUCAGCGGUUGGUGACCUUCAACUUGUAUCCGUUCAUCUGUUCACCCAAAUUAGUGCAACAGGAAGUACCAACAGAACCUGGCGCAACUACAGGUCUCUCAAGCGACAGAAUGCAACCAGACUCGGCAUAGAAUGGGCAGAUUGAAUCAUGGCUGUUCCACACAAUACAAGUCGUUAGACUACACGGCCUGACUAGUACAUCAAACAAAAUCGUAUCACAUGUUACUUCAUUUUCUCCUAACCGUGGAAACAUCUCUGUGUUUUGGACAGUUUACACACACACAUAUACAGGUCAUCAAAAUCCGGGCCCUGAUUAUGAUAAAUAUAGCAACAUUUGCAGCCUCCUAUCCAAAGGACACCUGUUACUCUUUCCCCGGGGGUAAAGCGGCAGAGCCUUGAAGCUGGCCAGUCAACUCCAACUAAUGUCUAGGCCAAGAAAAUGUGGAUCUAUACGUCUAUACCCCUAUAGAAUUUUAACAUUUUUUACCUUCCAUCAUCAUUUCCACUGAACUACAUUUAGAUGGGUAAGUAUAUGGAAAGAAU